ACUCAAAUGAAUAGACGGGGGCCCGCACAAGCGGAGGAGCAUGUGGUUUAAUUCGAUGAUACGCGAGGAACCUUACCCGGGCUUGAAAGUUAGUGACCGAUCCUGAAAGGGAUCUUCCCGCAAGGGCACGAAACUAGGUGCUGCAUGGCUGUCGUCAGCUCGUGCCGUGAGGUGUUGGGUUAAGUCCCGUAACGAGCGCAACCCCUAUCAUUAGUUGCUACCAGGUUAAGCUGAGGACUCUAAUGAGACUGCCCGCGCAAGCGGCGAGGAAGGUGGGGAUGACGUCAAGUCAGCACGGCCCUUACGUCCGGGGCUACACACGUGCUACAAUGGAUGGUACAGAGGGCAGCUACCAGGUGACUGGAUGCCAAUCUCAAAAGCCAUUCUCAGUUCGGAUUGAAGUCUGCAACUCGACUUCAUGAAGCUGGAUUCGCUAGUAAUCGCGUAUCAGCAAUGACGCGGUGAAUACGUUCCCGGGCCUUGUACACACCGCCCGU
rnacentral:rRNA from 1 species